GACAAACGCUGGCGGAAUGUAUUAGGCAUGCAAGUCGUACGAACCUUCGGGUUAGUGGCGAACGGGUGAGUAACACGUGGGUAACCUGCCUCGUAGUGGGGAAUAACUCGCCGAAAGGCGAGCUAAUACCGCAUAACACCCCCGGUGAGAAUCCGGGUGGUAAAGACUCCGGCGCUACGAGAGGGGCCCGGCGGCCGAUUAGCUAGUUGGUGGGGUAAGUAGCCUACCAAGGCGACGAUCGGUAGGCUGGUCUGAGAGGAUGGUCAGCCACACGGGGACGUGAGAUACGGCCCCGACCUCCUACGGGAGGCAGCAGCUAAGAAUCUUGCGCAAUGGGCGAAAGCCUGACGCAGCAAUUCCGCGUGGGGGACGAAGGCCCUCGGGUCGUAAACCCCUUUUGUGAGGGAAGAAGUUCUGACGGUACCUCACGAAUAAGACACGGCUAACUACGUG
rnacentral:rRNA from 1 species